rnacentral:rRNA from 1 species
UACGGAGGAUGCGAGCGUUAUCCGGAUUUAUUGGGUUUAAAGGGUGCGCAGGCGGCACGGCAAGCCGGCGGUCAAAUCGCGGGGCUCAACCCCGCCCAGCCGUCGGAACUGCCGGGCUAGAGUGGGCGAGAAGUGCGCGGAAUGCGUGGUGUAGCGGUGAAAUGCAUAGGUAUAUAGAGGAACACCGGUGGCGAAAGCGGCUCUCUGGCCUGUAACUGACACUGAGGCUCGAAAGCGUGGGGAGCAAACAGG